CUCUAUGGCCAUGCCACCCUGAACAAGCCCAAUCCCGUCUGAUCUUGGAAGCUAAGCAGGGUCGGGCCUGAUUAGUAUUUGGAUGGGAGACCACCAAGGAAGACCAGGUGCUGUAGGAG
rnacentral:rRNA from 1 species